UAGCCGCAUAAAGUUAAUCACGAGGGCUUCUGUGUCAAUGUUGCUAGUUCAGGACUUCAGGUGAUCCGAAAGCUUUGGAAGCUUGUGUUGACUGUGGUGCAUGGUGGCAGGCGUCAGCCACAGCGGUGUAUCGGCAUUUGGGCCUUGUUUAGUUGGCCAAUUUGGGAGAUGCAAAAUUCCUGUUCCAGCACUGUAGCACACUGUAGCAUUUCGUUUGUAUUUGCGAAUUAUUGUCCAAACAUUGACUAAUUAGGCUCAAAAGAUUCGUCUCGCAAAGUACAACAAAACUGUGCAAUUAGUUUUUAAUUUCAUCUACAUUUAGUAUUACAUGCAUGUACCGCAAGUUUGAUGUGAUGGAGAAUCUUCUUUUUGCAUAGUGUCAAAAUUGGGAGUUGGGGAGUAACUAAACAUGGCCUUGCACAUAGUUCAUGGGUCCUCGGAGUUCGCAUUUUGGAACGCGAGGAGAUAAGACGCCGGGAUUAGAAAAAGUGCAUGCAGAACUGUUACUACUACUUGUAGCAUAUUCUGUGGUUUUCUCAACUGCAGUUUUUUUCCCCUUUCUCCAAGCAUGUGGCUGUGUCAUCUGCCAUGUACUCAUACAUGUGUCACAACUCACAACGUGGCAAUUGUCGCAAGUGACAGCAUGGACGUAACGCCUGACGGCACGGCAAAGCGAUGGCAUCCGCGUAGCGUAGACUGCAC
rnacentral:lncRNA from 1 species